CAGUAGCCGCGGUAAUACGUAUGUCACAAGCGUUAUCCGGAUUUAUUGGGCGUAAAGCGCGUCUAGGUGGUUAUGUAAGUCUGAUGUGAAAAUGCAGGGCUCAACUCUGUAUUGCGUUGGAAACUGUGUAACUAGAGUACUGGAGAGGUAAGCGGAACUACAAGUGUAGAGGUGAAAUUCGUAGAUAUUUGUAGGAAUGCCGAUGGGGAAGCCAGCUUACUGGACAGAUACUGAUGCUAAAGCGCGAAAGCGUGGGUAGCAAACAGGAUUAGAUACCCCUGUAGUCCCUGUCUCUUAUACA
rnacentral:rRNA from 1 species